AUUUGUUUUUUUAAAAUCCGGUACUGGUUAUCUUUAGAUGACUCUUGUGACACUUGUGGGGUUCCAGCUCAAACUGUUUGGACGCUACUAAACAGAAGUUGACACAUCGACAGUACCGACUUCAGACAUGUCUCCUGGCACUUGUGCGGGUCGUAGAGCAAAAUGAAGAACACCAUAGAGUUGGUCGUUGUGGAUGUUUUUGAUCAGAUGGCAUGGCUGUACUCAGUGAAGGAGGCAUCCGCCUCUAGCCUGUUGCUGUGUUCCACAACAUGCUUGACUUGGCUGCUAUCAAAGCAUACGUUUUGUUCAAGCAGUGAAUAAACAACACCAUGCUCAGGAGAGACUUCAUCAUGUGUCUGGCACACAGGCUAUGUGAGAGGCAUAUGAGAGCCAAGGAAGCAGUAAAGAUCCCAUGCGAGCCAUGACCCAAAUUGCGGAACGCUUCCCCUGAGAGGACAGUGCCAGGUUGCCAGAACCUAAGGCACCUGUGUCACCUACAAGAGACGCGUUUGUGGGAAGUGUGUUAAGCAAGUGAAAGUGGUGAAGAUUUGUGUCGACUGGACAGCUAAAUUAAAUCAAACUGUUGUUGAUUUAAUUCCAUUGCGUGAAUACGCACAUCAUGUAAGCACGAGCUGACAACAAUUUACUAUUUUUACUGCUUUCAUAUCAACACUUAUAUUAAUUAUAAUGUCAUUAUUGCUUUUGUG
ensembl:lncRNA